rnacentral:rRNA from 1 species
GCCUGAUGGAGGGGGAUAACUACUGGAAACGGUAGCUAAUACCGCAUAACGUCGCAAGACCAAAGAGGGGGACCCUCGGGCCUCUUGCCAUCGGAUGUGCCCAGAUGGGAUUAGCUUGUUGGUGGGGUAACGGCUCACCAAGGCGACGAUCCCUAGCUGGUCUGAGAGGAUGACCAGCCACACUGGAACUGAGACACGGUCCAGACUCCUACGG